rnacentral:rRNA from 1 species
UACGUAGGGUGCAAGCGUUAAUCGGAAUUACUGGGCGUAAAGAGUGUGUAGGCGGCGCUCUAAGUUCGGUGUGAAAUCUCUCGCUUAACUGGGAGGGUGCGCCGGAAACUGGAGUGCUCGAACGUGGGAGAGGAAAGCGGAAUUCCUGGUGUAGCGGUGAAAUGCGUAGAUAUCUGCAGGAACACCCGUGGCGAAAGCGGCGCGCUGGACCACUACUGACGCUGAGGAACGAAAGCUAGGGGAGCAAACAGG